GAUGAACGCUGGCGGCGUGCCUAAUACAUGCAAGUCGAGCGAACAGACGAGGAGCUUGCUCCUCUGACGUUAGCGGCGGACGGGUGAGUAACACGUGGAUAACCUACCUAUAAGACUGGGAUAACUUCGGGAAACCGGAGCUAAUACCGGAUAAUAUAUUGAACCGCAUGGUUCAAUAGUGAAAGACGGUUUUGCUGUCACUUAUAGAUGGAUCCGCGCCGCAUUAGCUAGUUGGUAAGGUAACGGCUUACCAAGGCAACGAUGCGUAGCCGACCUGAGAGGGUGAUCGGCCACACUGGAGCUGAGACACGGUCCAGACUCCUACGGGAGGCAGCAGUAGGGAAUCUUCCGCAAUGGGCGAAAGCUUGACGGAGCAACGCCGCGUGAGUGAUGAAGGUCUUCGGAUCGUAAAACUCUAUUAUUAGGGAAGAACAAAUGUGUAAGUAACUAUGCACGUCUUGACGGUACCUAAUCAGAAAGCCACGGCUAACUACGUG
rnacentral:rRNA from 1 species